GUUUUAGUAAAAUUAUUAAAUUAUUUUUAGAAAUUCACUUCCUUUAAUUUAUUGUUAAAGGCCUGGUUUCAAUAACAGCAUUUUAAUCCCUGAAUGGUUAGUAAACUAAAAAAUCCAACAAUAUUUGUGAGCUAAUAACAAUGCCUCCAAAAUCACAUGAUGAAAACCGUGCUCAAGUUUGUGUAAUUUGCUUUUGCACAAGGGGAAAAAAGGCACACAGACAAGUUACUAACACACAAUAGAUUGAACUGAAGGCUCAUUUGAUGUCAAACUAUUCACUGCAAGAUCCAAGGUUUCCAUCUGGGCUUUGUAUUGACUGCAGAUUGGACAAGAUAAAAAAUGGAGAUUCUACAGUCAAUCUAUUAAUAGCAGAGAACUAUGAUCCAGAGCUGAAAACUAUAACAAGGUCUAUAGAAAGAUGUAAGUGCAUAAUUUGUAAAAUUGCUAGCUUUAAUGGUCUUCAGUGGAAGUUAUUUGUCAACAAACAGAAGAAUAAAUCUAAUAAUUCAAGAUUAUUUUCCAAACGGAUCUGCUCACACUCCUUUGCCAGUAUCUGCAGGGUAUCAAGCCACUCAAAAGAUAAGUGUAAACUAAGAUUGGAAAUAAUAGUUAACAUUAUAUAACCGAUCAGUUAUAAAACUAUAAAAACAAAGAAAGAAUCAGGCAAUUUGGUCAUCUCCAUUACAUCCCCUAAUGGUGGAAAAUUUUUGAUACUAUCCCUGGAAGAGAACAACGAAACAAUAGUUGAGGUAUUUCUGACUGCAGAGAAUGUCUUUGCAAUACAACAGGAAACUAGGCUGACUGAUCGUCAUGUUAUUUCAGUUCUGAAAAACUUUAGACUUAAAUGGGGAUGGAAAUGUAUUGUUCCUUGUAUAAAGGAGACUAUGAGGGAUCAGAAAGGUAUUUUUGGAAAGUUAUUUUCUCAGAAAUAACUACGUUUCAAGACUCUAAUAGCAUAACUCUAAAAAUUCCAGAGACAUCAUAACUUCAAGAUAUUCAUAGAGAAGGCUCAAAUCAAUCUUCUGUUGUUUAACUUUACUGGUGACCUAAAAUAAUAUCAUGUGCAUCAAAAUAUCCAUGCUUAUACUGUGAGUCUUCAAAUUCUGUUGUUUAACUUUACUGGUGUCUGGAGUAAUAUCAUGUGCAUCAAAAUAUCCAUGCUUAUACUGUGAGUCUUCAAAUAGCGAAGGAAAUAAAGCCUGGCAGACAGAUGCUACACUCAGAACAUUUGGGAAUAUUGAAUACCACAGAGAGGAUUGGCUAACUUCCAGAGGUAAAAAAAUCAAAGCAAAAGAGUAUAAUAACUGUGUGACAACUCCUUUAUUCUUUCAUGAGGAUGAUCCUGAUGGGAGCUUGGUGAUCCUUAAGAGUCCACCACCAGAUUUUAAUCUUAAGUUGUCCCUAAAUCAUGUCUUUAAGAAGUUACAAAACAUUUGGGCAGGACUUCAGGAUUGGUUAGCAGGGCAUUCUAUUCUCUUUGAACCAUACCAUUGUGACACACUUGAAGGUAAUGAGUGUUCUAAAGUUCUAAGGCUACUUGAUAGUUUGGAAAAAAUACUUCCUAUGAAGCUGUCUGGUUUUUUGGAUUACAUGCAUGACUUUUCAAAGGUCAUUGACUCUACAUUUGGCGUGUCUGUAAAUCCUGAUUAUAAAAAUGUUCUUAAAAACCUAGGGAUGUCUUUUAGUUCUUUACAUGAAGAGUUUGGAGUGUCUGAAACUCCUAAGCUUCAUGUAAUACUCACACAUAUUGAGCAGUUCAUCGACAUCACAGGAGACAUCACAGGAAAGGGACUCAGUCAGUUUUCAGAACAGGAGUUAAAAAACUCACAUUCAGCAUUCUUGGUAGUUGGGAGCAAUACCUGAUAAAAGACAUUUCUUCACCUAAAUAUAUGGAGAACUACUCUGAGGCUGUCCUAAAUUUUAAUGCUAAUAAUAUUUAGUUACAUAGUAUGCAAAAUAUGUAUUUUCAGUUUUUAUACCUAGUUGUACUUAACUGUAAACUGUAUUUUAAAUUACUUUAAAAAAAGAUUUUAUACCUUUUUUUAUUUUUGCAGGUUUUUGUUUUUUAAUUUUAUAAUUUUUAUAACUAUUAUAUAUAUGUAAAAGAAUGGUACAAUACAUUUUUUUGGCUGAUUGUAGAGGUUCAGUUUUACUCAGGCACACGGUGGACUAAGAUAUAGUUGCUAUUAAGUUAGAAAAUUUACUACAACUUAGUCUAAGUUGUCGUGUAGCAUUAUUUAAUAUGUUAUUUUUUCAAGUUCCUGACUCUCAAAACACGAAGUUGUAAAAGAAACUGUUAUUGAAGUCAGGUAUUGCUAUGAAAAUUAAGAAAAAACUUAACAAGAAAAAAAGAGCAUUUAAUAGAAGGCUUAAAAUGCUGCAAGUUAUUUAGGAAAACACAAAACAAAAAUAAUUUCAAAUACAAACAAAAAAAUAAAAAUCAUUGGAAAAAAGUAGAUCACUGAGUUAAAAUUAACCAGCCACUGCAAGCCUUAGAAAAUCACAAAUAAAAAACUGUUUAAAACAGAUGGUUCCCUAUCAAUAUAUAAAUUUUGCAAUUAUUGUUACUUAGUAGUUUUUUUCAGAAAUUUCACUUCAAAAGAAGCAUGUAUUACUUAUAAGAAUAUAUGCAUAAUGAUAAUUAUGCAUAUAUUCAUAUAAUCUUAUAUGCAUAAUAAUUUACUUAUUAAAUUAUCAUAAUUUAAAUAGUUUAAUGCGUGUUUCAAUCAAUCUUAUGCACAUUUAUUUUAUAGUUUUUAUUUUUAAGAUUAAAUAUUAACUAAAAAAUAAAAAUAUAAAUAUAAAAAAAUAAAAUAAAAAAUAUAAAUUGGCAUUAGACUAUUGACUAACCACUGGUUAACUAUGACUUAUUAAUUAUUAAACAUCUUGGAAAGCAGAUUUGAAUUUCAGUUUUUUACCAUACUUUAACUUUAGUUAAUUGCAGUUAUUGUGAAACAUCUUUUAGUGUUAAUUCCAGUGGUACUAGUCAGCUUGUAAAGCAGAAUAAAGUAAAAUAAAACAGUAAUUAGGGUACCAGGCAAUGUGUAUGUGAUCACAUAUUAUUGCAACUAGUAGCAUUUUUAUAUUUGUGAUGAUAUCGCCAAAGGCGUUAUGUUUGUGCUGUUUUUUGCAUUAGCAGUCAUCAAUUCUUAGUCAUUCAAUAGUACGCAGAGGCUGAUAUUUAUUUUUCCACCUCAGUUAUAGCAUUCUAUGCAUUCCAUUGUGGUGGAAGGCUUAAGAUAAACCAAGUGAGUCAGAAUGAAAGUUUACAAAGAGUUUACAAGGAUACUGUGCAUGUCAAGUUGUAGGUCAGCAACUUUAUUUCUAACUUUAUUAUACUUAGAUGCGUUUAGCACAAUAAACAUUGUGUUCACUGGUAUUUAUAGAAUUUAUCCAUGAUAAGAAGUUAUUUACUUUAGAAUGUUUGUUGAUUAGAGAUUAAGAUGGGGUCAGUAGUUUGUGUGCUUUGGCAAUAUAAAACUUUUGUGCCAAAAGCAUUGGCUAGAUAUUAUAGUGAUAUUAUAAAGAGCUUGUAAAAUUUUGUUUCAGUUGAUUAUGUAUGUGCAGGCUAUAAAUGAAGGAUCAGUGUUGAUUUGUUGUGUCUGUUACCAGAGCGCUAAUUAUUACUUAUUUAGAGUUUAGUGGAUCUAAAGCCUUGUUCAUUAAGGUAUUUUGUAGUUUAAAAAUUGGUUUAAAAAAAAAAAGUACCCUUCCUAAUUUAAGUAGCUCUCUGCAGCCUUGAAUUGCUCAUCUCUAUAUAAUAAUGUUGAACUAAUAGUUUAUUUAAAGCCAAGGUAAUGACGAGAUAAAGCCCCUUAGCCCUUUUUUAUAAGGAAGUAUAAGAACUUUAUUUACAACUAUAUAAAUAUAUAUUUAUAUAACGUUAUGUUGUUAUUAUAUAAUGUUAU